rnacentral:rRNA from 1 species
AGGGCGUAUGGCGGAUGCCUAGGCUCACGGAGGCGAUGAAGGACGUGAUAAGCUGCGAUAAGCUUCGGGUAGGUGCAAAUAACCCUUGAUCCGGAGAUUUCCGAAUGGGACAACCUAGCCGUCUGAAGGACGGUUACUAGCACUUAAGUGUUAGAGCUAACGCAGGGAACUGAAACAUCUUAGUACCUGCAGGAAGAGAAAAUAAAUGAAUGAUUCCCCCAGUAGUGGCGAGCGAACGGGGAACAGCCCAAACCAGUGGCGUCGCAAGGCGUGGCUGGGGUUGUAGGACCGCGACAUUGUAUGCAAAUCGUGAACAGAACACUUUGGAAAAUGUGACCAUAGACGGUGAUAGUCCAGUAUGUGAAGCGAAAUGCAGCAUAGCGGUAUCCUGAGUAACGCGGGACACGAGGAAUCCUGCGCGAAUCUGCCGGGACCAUCCGGUAAGGCUAAAUACUCCCGUGAGACCGAUAGCGAACGAGUACUGUGAAGGAAAGGUGAAAAGAACCCCGAGCAGGGGAGUGAAAUAGUUCCUGAAACCAUACGCCUACAAGCGGUCGGAGCAUCGCAAGAUGUGACGGCGUGCCUUUUGCAUAAUGAUCCUACGAGUUACCGUCACUGGCGAGGUUGAGUGUCACGAGACACGUAGCCGCAGUGAAAGCGAGCCUGAACAGGGCGCACAGUCAGUGGGGGUAGACGCGAAACCAAGUGAUCUACACUUGGCCAGGAUGAAGUCCCGGUAACACGGGAUGGAGGUCCGCACCAAUAAGCGUUGAAAAGCUUCUGGAUGAGCCGAGUGUAGGAGUGAAAGGCCAAUCAAACUUGGAGAUAGCUCGUACUCCCCGAAAGGCAUUUAGGUGCCGCGUCGGAUGGUCACCGUGAGAGGUAGAGCGACCGAUAGGACAAGAGGGCUUCACCGCCUAUCGAGUCCUGACGAACUCCGAAUGCUCACGGUCUGCAGUCCGGCAGUAAGGGGGCGGGUGCUAAGGUCCGUCCCCGAGAGGAGAAGAAUCCAGACCGCCGUCUAAGGUCCCGGAGUUCUGCCUGAGUUAGUCUAACGAAGUCUGGUCCCUAUGACAGCUAGGAUGUUGGCUUGGAAGCAGCCAUUCAUUCAAAGAGUGCGUAACAGCUCACUAGUCGAGGGUCCGGGCAUGGAUAAUAAUCGGGUAUAAGGCAGACACCGAAGGCGCGGGAUAGCAUUUAAGAAAGUAUCGGUAGGGGAGCAUACUCACAGCGUCGAAUGGUGUACGUAAGUUAUCCUGGAGCGGUGAGUAAAGCAAAUGUAGGAAUAAGUAACGAUAAGGAGGGUUAGAUUCCCUCCCGCUGUAAGACCAAGGUUUCCCGGGCAAUGCCAAUCAGCCCGGGGUCAGUCGGGUCCUAAGUCUAAGCCGAACGGCGAUGGCGAUGGCAGAGACGGUUAAUAUUCCGUCACUGCCGCAUGGGGCGACGUGGAGACGGAGCAGUGAAACCACCGCGGGGCGACGGAAGUCCCCGUUGAAGAGUGUAGGCGUUGAGGAUGGCAGGCAAAUCCACCAUCCGAGCUGAACUUGACAGUACGGAGUCCUCCUCGGAGGAAUCUGAUAGUGUGGGUAAUCAUACUCCCGAGAAAAUCCGCUAAGCUUAACCCAUGCGGCACCCGUACCGCAAACGGACACACGUGGUCGGGUAGAACAUACUAAGGCGUUGAGAGAUUCAUGGUUAAGGAACUAGGCAAAUUGACCCUGUAACUUCGGGAUAAAGGGUCCUCGUGAUGAGCGAGGCGCAGAGAAUAGGUCCAGGCAACUGUUUAACAAAAACACAGGGCUGUGCAAACUCGAAAGAUGACGUAUACAGCCUGACACCUGCCCGGUGCCGGAAGGUUAAGAGGAGAUGUCACCAGCAAUGGGAAGCAUUGAAUUGAAGCCCCGGUAAACGGCGGCCGUAACUAUAACGGUCCUAAGGUAGCGAAAUUCCUUGUCGGGUAAGUUCCGACCUGCACGAAUGGUGUAAUGAUCCGGACGCUGUCUCAACCAUGAGCUCAGUGAAAUUGUAGUAUCGGUGAAGAUGCCGAUUACCCGCGAUGGGACGAAAAGACCCCGUGAACCUUUACUACAGCUUAGCAUUGACCUUGGUCAUCCGAUGUGUAGGAUAGGCCGGAGGCUUCGAAGCGGGAGCGCCAGCUUUCGUGGAGCCAUCCUUGAAAUACGGCCCUUUGGCUGUCUGAGGUCUAACGCGUGAUACGCGGACACUGCUUGGUGGGUAGUUUGACUGGGGUGGUCGCCUCCAAAAGCGUAACGGAGGCUUCCAAAGGUGCCCUCGGGUCGAUUGGUAACCGACCUCAAAGAGUGCAAUGGCAUAAGGGCGCUUGACUGGGAGGCAGACAUGCCGAGCAGGCAGGAAACUGGGGCAUAGUGAUCCGGCGGAUGUGUAUGGAAACUCCGUCGCUCAAAGGAUAAAAGGUACUCCGGGGAUAACAGGCUGAUCCCCCCCAAGAGCUCAUAUCGACGGGGUGGUUUGGCACCUCGAUGUCGGCUCGUCACAUCCUGGGGCUGGAGAAGGUCCCAAGGGUUGGGCUGUUCGCCCAUUAAAGUGGCACGCGAGCUGGGUUCAGAACGUCGUGAGACAGUUCGGUCUCUAUCUAUCGUGGGCGUGGGAGUUUUGAGUGGUGCCGUCACUAGUACGAGAGGACCGUGAUGGACAGACCUCCGGUUUACCAGUUGUGCCGCCAGGCGCACCGCUGGGUAUCUGAGUCUGGAUUGGAUAAGCGCUGAAAGCAUCUAAGUGCGAAGCCAGCCGCAAGAUGAGAACUCCAUUGAGGGUCGUCAGAGACGAUGACGUUGAUAGGAUGCAGGUGUAAAGACAGCGAUGUCAAAGCCGAGCAUUACUAAUUGCCCGAACACUUUCUUU